rnacentral:rRNA from 1 species
GAUGAACGCUGGCGGCGUGCCUAAUACAUGCAAGUCGAGCGAACGGACGAGAAGCUUGCUUCUCUGAUGUUAGCGGCGGACGGGUGAGUAACACGUGGAUAACCUACCUAUAAGACUGGGAUAACUUCGGGAAACCGGAGCUAAUACCGGAUGAUAUUUUGAACCGCAUGGUUCAAAAGUGAAAGACGGUCUUGCUGUCACUUAUAGAUGGAUCCGGGCUGCAUUAGAUAGUUGGUAAGGUAACGGCUUACCAAGGCAACGAUGCAUAGCCGACCUGAGAGGGUGAUAGGCCACACUGGAGCUGAGACACGGUCCAGACUCCUACGGGAGGCAGCAGUAGGGAAUGUUCCGCAAUGGGCGAAAGCCUGACGGAGCAACGCCGCGUGAGUGAUGAAGGUCUUCGGAUCGUAAAACUCUGUUAUUAGGGAAGAACAUAUGUGUAAGUAACUGUGCACAUCUUGACGGUACCUAAUCAGAAAGCCACGGCUAACUACGUG